GUAGGUCUGGACUUAAAUUUUCUGUCCCUCUUGCUCUCCUUGUUCAUCUCUGCAGAUACCGAACGGAUGUACUCAGUGGUGUUUCAAGAAAUAUGCAGUCGCUAUGGGAAGACAUACAGCUGGGAUUUGAAGUCGCUGGUGAUGGGUAAAAAGGCGUUAGAAGCCGCUCAGAUUGUGAUAGACGUCCUGCAGCUCCCCAUGUCCAAAGAGGAGCUGGUGGAGGAGAGCCAGAGGAAGCUACAGGAGCUGUUCCCCACCGCUGAGCUUAUGCCAGGACACCGGAGCAGCCAUGAUGAUACGGCUCCUAUGCUAUAG
rnacentral:lncRNA from 1 species